AGUCUCCUGGUGCUUGUCAUUAGCUGUAUUCUUACAAUGACAGUAGAGAAAGAGGAGGUAGAAUGAUCAUUUCCCACAUGUAUACCUCAGCUCAAGGCUUGUGCCUGGUCUAUAAGUAGGACACGAAAA
ensembl:snoRNA